rnacentral:rRNA from 1 species
ACGAGCACGCGCGUGUGGCAUAUCAAUAAGCGGAGGAAAAGAAACUAACAAGGAUUCCCUUAGUAACGGCGAGUGAAGCGGGAAGAGCUCAAAUUUGAAAUCUUCAAGGUUCUACCUUGACGAAUUGUAGUUUAUAGAAGUGUUUUCUGUUAGUAGAGUGGCAAAAGUUCUUUGGAAUAGGACAUCAUAGAGGGUGAGAAUCCCGUAUUUGGUCAUUCUUUCUAGCUUUGUGAUACGCUUUCAACGAGUCGGAUUGUUUGGGAAUGCAGUCCAAAAUGGGUGGUAAAUUUCAUCUAAAGCUAAAUAUUGGGAGAGACCGAUAGCGAACAAGUACCGAUGAGGGAAAGAUGAAAAGAACUUUGAAAAGAGAGUUAAACAGUACGUGAAAUUGUCAAAAGGGAAGCGUUUGACACCAGUGUUGUUUUUCCGAAAAUCAAUUACGAAUGUUUUGUUUUUGAGGAAGUUAUGACUUCAUCGGCUUGCUCCUUUCUUUACUGAAACUUUCUUAAUGCACUUUUCGGUUAACAAGUCAACAUCAAUUUCUUUUGUUGUAAAAGGGUAUGAGGAAGGUGGCUUUCUUUUCGGAGAAAGUGUUUAUAGCCUUGUACCUCUGCAAUCGGAGAGAUUGAGGUCUGCAGCGUAGAUCCUUCGGGGUUAGAUACAUUUGUGCUAAGUUAUAGCUUUUCAUAGACAACUUGUUGACUAUGUUUAGUCUUGUAGCUUACUCGCUUACUGCUAUUUUACCUACGCUUAGGAUGUUGAGUAGCGACAUACGCAC